rnacentral:rRNA from 1 species
AAUAGAUUGUUAAUAUAAAUGUUAAAAUUGUUAAAUAAAUUAUUUGUUUAAGUUAGUAUUAGAAGUAUAGAAAAUUUUAGUUAUAUGUACUGUAAAGGAGUAGAAGUAAAUUAUUUAUUAGUAGAAUUAUAAGUUCGUACCUUUUGUAUAAUGGGUUAAUGAUAUUUUGUUUUAUAAAAAACUAUCUCGAAGUAAAAAGAUUUAUUUAAUAAUAGGUGUUAACGUUGUAAAGUUAUAUUUUUAUUAUUAAAUGGUAAUGAAAUGUUUUUCGGUUUUUAUGGUAGCUAGUUUAUUGAUGAAGGCAUUUUAGUGCUUUAAUAUUGAUUUAUUAUAUUAAUUAAUAUUAUUAAUUUUAUAGGGGAUAAGCUCUAUAUAAAUUUAAUAGAAUAUUUUGGGUUAAUUAUUAAUUAUAAGUAGGGUUAAAAUUGUUUAUCUUGUAUAAUUUUGUAUAAAAAUAAUUUUUGUAGUAUUCAGGUUUGGUUGAAAUUAAUAAAUGAGUUAUUAAUUUUAAGUAAUUAAAUAUAAUGUUAGUAUGAGUAUUAAUUAAAUUAUAAUAUAUUUUUAAAUUUAAAAAUGUAGAUGAAAGUGUAUAUUUUAAUUAAAUAAAAUAGGAAAAAGGAAUUCGGCAAAUAUAAAUCUCGCCUGUUUAUCAAAAACAUGUCUCUUUGUAUUAGUUAAAUAAAGAGUUGGGCCUGCUCGGUGAAGAAAUUUUUAACAGCUGCGGUAUUUUAACUGUACUAAGGUAGCAUAAUAAUUUGCCUUAUAAAUUGAGGCUAGUAUGAAAGGUUUGACGAAGGUUUAUCUGUCUCUUUUUUAUUUAAUAGAAAUUAAUUUUUAUAGUGAAAAAGCUUAAAUAUUUUAAAGGGACGAGAAGACCCUAAUGAGCUUAAAUUUUAUAUUAUUAUUAAUAUAUAAUUAUAAUAAUUGGAAAUUUUAAUUGGGGUGAUUAAGGAAUAAUAUUAAAAUAAAUAACUUCCUUAUAUAUUAAUAAAUUGUUGAAUUAAGUAACCAAUAAUAUUGCUUUUAAUAAAGUUACCAUAGGGAUAACAGCGUAAUUUAUUUAGAGAGCUCAUAUCAAAAAAUAAGAUUGCGACCUCGAUGUUGGAUUAAAGUAACCUUAAGGUGUAGUAGCUUUAUUGGUAAAUCUGUUCGAUUUUUAAAACUUUACAUGAUCUGAGUUCAGACCGGCGUGAGCCAGGUUGGUUUCUAUCUUUUAAAAUAAAUAUGAUCUUUUUUUAGUACGAAAGGACCGGAGAGGAUAAUAUAAAUUAAUGUAAUAA